CUACGGGGCGCACCAGUGGGGAAUAUUGGACAAUGGGCGAAAGCCUGAUCCAGCAAUGCCGCGUGAGUGAUGAAGGCCUUAGGGUUGUAAAGCUCUUUUACCCGGGAUGAUAAUGACAGUACCGGGAGAAUAAGCUCCGGCUAACUCCGUGCCAGCAGCCGCGGUAAUACGGAGGGAGCUAGCGUUAUUCGGAAUUACUGGGCGUAAAGCGCACGUAGGCGGCUUUGUAAGUAAGAGGUGAAAGCCCAGAGCUCAACUCUGGAAUUGCCUUUUAGACUGCAUCGCUUGAAUCAUGGAGAGGUCAGUGGAAUUCCGAGUGUAGAGGUGAAAUUCGUAGAUAUUCGGAAGAACACCAGUGGCGAAGGCGGCUGACUGGACAUGUAUUGACGCUGAGGUGCGAAAGCGUGGGGAGCAAACAGGAUUAGAUACCCCAGUAGUC
rnacentral:rRNA from 1 species